CCUACGGGUGGCUGCAGUAGGGAAUUUUCGUCAAUGGGCGCAAGCCUGAACGAGCAAUGCCGCGUGAACGAGGAAGGUCUUCGGAUCGUAAAGUUCUGUUGUAGGGGAAAAAGAGCGGAGAGAGGAAAUGCUUUCUGAUUGAUAUUACCCUUCGAGGAAGUCACGGCUAACUACGUGCCAGCAGCCGCGGUAAUACGUAGGUGGCGAGCGUUAUCCGGAAUGAUUGGGCGUAAAGGGUGCGUAGGCGGCAUGCUAAGUCUGGAGUGAAAGGUACCGGCUCAACCGGUACAGGCUCUGGAAACUGGCGGGAUAGAGAGGAGGAGAGGGCGGUGGAAAUUCAUGUGUAGCGGUAAAAUGCGUAGAUAUAUGGAAGAACAGCAGUGGCGAAGGCGGCCGCCUGGCCUGUUAACUGACGCUGAGGCACGAAAGCGUGGGUAUCGAACAGGAUUAGAUACCCGUGUAGUC
rnacentral:rRNA from 1 species